rnacentral:rRNA from 1 species
UACGUAGGUGGCAAGCGUUGUCCGGAUUUAUUGGGUUUAAAGGGUGCGUAGGUGGUUUAAUAAGUCAGUGGUGAAAGCUGGUUGCUCAACAAUCAAGUUGCCAUUGAUACUGUUAGACUUGAGAGAAGUGGAGGCUGGUGGAAUGGAUGGUGUAGCGGUGAAAUGCAUAGAUAUCAUCCAGAACGUCAAUUGCGAAGGCAGCUGGCUGUACUUUUUCUGACACUGAGGCACGAAAGUGUGGGGAUCAAACAGG